rnacentral:rRNA from 1 species
UACGUAGGGGGCAAGCGUUAUCCGGAAUCAUUGGGCGUAAAGAGUGCGUAGGUGGUUUCUUAAGCGUGGGGUUUAAGGCUAUGGCUUAACCAUAGUUCGCCCCAUGAACUGGGAGACUUGAGUGAGGAGGGGAAAGUGGAAUUCCUAGUGUAGCGGUGAAAUGCGUAGAUAUUAGGAGGAACACCAGUGGCGAAGGCGACUUUCUGGACUGUAACUGACACUGAGGCACGAAAGCGUGGGGAGCAAACAG